rnacentral:rRNA from 1 species
AAGAGGGAAACAACCCAGACCAACAGCUAAGGCCCCCAAUUCGUGGCUAAGUGGGAAAGGAUGUGGGAAUCCCAAAACAACCAGGAGGUUGGCUUAGAAGCAGCCAUCCUUUAAAGAAAGCGUAACAGCUCACUGGUCUAAACAAGGGGUUCUGCGCCGAAGAUGUACCGGGGCUCAAGCCACGAGCCGAAGCUUUGGGUUUGGCGAU